rnacentral:rRNA from 1 species
UAGAGUUUUGAUCUGGCUCAGGACGAACGCUGGCGGCGUGCUUAACACAUGCAAGUCGAACGGAAAGGCCCUUCGGGGUACUCGAGUGGCGAACGGGUGAGUAACACGUGGGUGAUCUGCCCUGCACUUUGGGAUAAGCCUGGGAAACUGGGUCUAAUACCGAAUAGGACCGCGCUCUUCAUGGGGUGUGGUGGAAAGCUUUUGCGGUGUGGGAUGGGCCCGCGGCCUAUCAGCUUGUUGGUGGGGUAAUGGCCUACCAAGGCGACGACGGGUAGCCGGCCUGAGAGGGUGACCGGCCACACUGGGACUGAGACACGGCCCAGACUCCUACGGGAGGCAGCAGUGGGGAAUAUUGCACAAUGGGCGCAAGCCUGAUGCAGCGACGCCGCGUGAGGGAUGACGGAAUUCGGGUUGUAAACCUCUUUCAAUAGGGACGAAGCGCAAGUGACGGUACCUAUAGAAGAAGGACCGGCCAACUACGUGCCAGCAGCCGCGGUAAUACGUAGGGUCCGAGCGUUGUCCGGAAUUACUGGGCGUAAAGAGCUCGUAGGUGGUUUGUCGCGUUGUUCGUGAAAACUCACAGCUUAACUGUGGGCGUGCGGGCGAUACGGGCAGACUAGAGUACUGCAGGGGAGACUGGAAUUCCUGGUGUAGCGGUGGAAUGCGCAGAUAUCAGGAGGAACACCGGUGGCGAAGGCGGGUCUCUGGGCAGUAACUGACGCUGAGGAGCGAAAGCGUGGGGAGCGAACAGGAUUAGAUACCCUGGUAGUCCACGCCGUAAACGGUGGGUACUAGGUGUGGGUUUCCUUCCUUGGGAUCCGUGCCGUAGCUAACGCAUUAAGUACCCCGCCUGGGGAGUACGGCCGCAAGGCUAAAACUCAAAGGAAUUGACGGGGGCCCGCACAAGCGGCGGAGCAUGUGGAUUAAUUCGAUGCAACGCG